rnacentral:tRNA from 1 species
GCCCGGGUGGCGGAAUUGGUAGACGCAAGGGACUUAAAAUCCCUCGGGAGUAUCUCCCGUGCCGGUUCGAGUCCGGCCCUGGGCA